AAACCCUAAAUUAAGAAGCCUAAUUGCGAGUUCAUCGCAAAUAAAAAAAUGCCCAACCCACUCGCAAAAGUCAUCCAAUCGGGGUCUUUGAUUGUUAAAGCCAGGGUUAAGGAGACUCCAAAGUUAGUACGCAGAAGCUCAUCAUUUCCACCUGGAGAGACAUUUGGAAUGAGGCAAUUUUAUUUGCUGACAGUGAAAGAAGAAUUCAACCUUCC
rnacentral:lncRNA from 1 species